rnacentral:rRNA from 1 species
GGCGGAAUUCGUGGUGUAGCGGUGAAAUGCUUAGAUAUCACGAAGAACUCCGAUUGCGAAGGCAGCUCACUGGAGCGCAACUGACGCUGAAGCUCGAAAGUGCGGGUAUCGAACAGGAUUAGAUACCCUGGUAGUCCGCACGGUAAACGAUGGAUGCCCGCUGUUGGUCUGAAUAGGUCAGCGGCCAAGCGAAAGCAUUAAGCAUCCCACCUGGGGAGUACGCCGGCAACGGUGAAACUCAAAGGAAUUGACGGGGGCCCGCACAAGCGGAGGAACAUGUGGUUUAAUUCGAUGAUACGCGAGGAACCUUACCCGGGCUUGAAUUGCAGAGGAAGGAUUUGGAGACAAUGACGCCCUUCGGGGCCUCUGUGAAGGUGCUGCAUGGUUGUCGUCAGCUCGUGCCGUGAGGUGUCGGCUUAAGUGCCAUAACGAGCGCAACCCCUCUCCUUAGUUGCCAUCAGGUUAAGCUGGGCACUCUGGGGACACUGCCACCGUAAGGUGUGAGGAAGGUGGGGAUGACGUCAAAUCAGCACGGCCCUUACGUCCGGGGCUACACACGUGUUACAAUGGCAGGUACAGAGAGACGGUCCCUUGCAAAACGGAUCAAAUCCUUAAAGCCUGUCUCAGUUCGGACUGGGGUCUGCAACCCGACCCCACGAAGCUGGAUUCGCUAGUAAUCGCGCAUCAGCCAUGGCGCGGUGAAUACGUUCCCGGGCCUUGUACACACCGCCCGUCAAGCCAUG